CUACGGGGCGCUCCAGUGAGGAAUAUUGCACAAUGGGGGGAACCCUGAUGCAGCAACGCCGCGUGGAGGAUGACGCAUUUCGGUGUGUAAACUCCUUUUAUAUGUCAAGAAAAUGACGGUAGCAUAUGAAUAAGCACCGGCUAACUCCGUGCCAGCAGCCGCGGUAAUACGGAGGGUGCAAGCGUUACUCGGAAUCACUGGGCGUAAAGGACGCGUAGGCGGGUUGGAAAGUCAGGUGUGAAAUCCUACAGCUUAACUGUAGAACUGCACUUGAAACUUCUAAUCUAGAGUAUGGGAGGGGGAGAUGGAAUUUGUGGUGUAGGGGUAAAAUCCGUAGAUAUCACUAGGAAUACCUAAAGCGAAGGCGAUCUCCUGGAACAUUACUGACGCUAAGGCGUGAAAGCGUGGGGAGCAAACAGGAUUAGGUACCCCGGUAGUC
rnacentral:rRNA from 1 species